CCUACGGGUGGCAGCAGUGGGGAAUAUUGCACAAUGGGGGAAACCCUGAUGCAGCGACGCCGCGUGAGUGAAGAAGUAAUUCGUUAUGUAAAGCUCCAUCAGCAGGGAAGAAAAUGACGGUACCUGAGUAAGAAGCCCCGGCUAACUCCGUGCCAGCAGACGCGGCAAUACGUCGGGGGCCAGCGUUAUCCGGAUUUACUGGGUGUAAAGGGAGCGUAGACGGCUGUGCAAGUCUGGAGUGAAAGGCGGGGGCUCAACCCCCGGAUUGCACUGGAAACUGUACGGCUGGAGUGCAGGAGAGGUAAGUGGAAUUCCUAGUGUAGCGGUGAAAUGCGUAGAUAUUAGGAGGAACACCAGUGGCGAAGGCGGCUUACUAGACUGUAACUGACGUUGAGGCUCGAAAGCGUGGGGAGCAAACAGGAUUAGAUACCCGAGUAGUC
rnacentral:rRNA from 1 species